UUCAUAGAAUUCUGGGUCCACAAAAUUGUAAGACAAAAAAUUGCCUCAUACAAUUAGUGUAAGUUGUAUGAGACACAAAAUAAAAUUUUCUGGUCACUUAGAUAUUGUGUACUCUAUUUUAAAAGAAAUCCGGAACAAAAUUUAACCCAAGUUACGUUCGAUCCUUAUUUUCCUAAAAAUUUUGUAACAUUCCUUGUUUGCAAACAUAUGUUAUGUACACACAGAUUUUCAUAAAUACAUAGUAAACACCAAAUACGAACAUUUAUUUUUAUCAGUAAAUUAUAAAUAUAAAACCAAAAUUGCACAAAAUUAAAGUUGUAUCCCUGAUAUAUAUAUAUUUUUAACCCUGAAGUAUUUACAUGCUCAUUAGCACCUUAACUUUGCACCGAAAGUUGGUGUUAUCGGUUAUCUGCUAUAAGCGUCUUCCAUAUUUCUUAGUUCUGGGCCUCAGUGAACAGGCUGAUUUUAGGCUACUGUUUAAAUUGUGUCCAUAAUUUAAAAAGUUUACAAAUAUAGCUCUUAAAAAGUUAUAUCUUCCGAAAACGUUAGACAAGUUUAAUGUUUCUCAUAAAAUUUCAGUUACUCAAAAAUUUUAGACGGUAAUCUAAAAGGUUAAUCAGUUGCGAGAUAAAUAAAAAGAUGGCCAUUCACUAAAUAAUAGAUACAACAAAAAGGACCAUCACUUAAAAUUUCACGGCUGAACUGAGUUUUUCCCAUUUGAGACCUUUGCUCAACCUAAGUGCAUAGGCAAAGGCGGAUUCAUAAUUUAUACUUUAUGGGUUAUGUAAUGAAUUAAGAGUAUUAUUGUUGACAAAUGACCAUCUAAUUUUCAAACUUAGUCAUAAUGAAUUGCUUUCACUUGAUAUUAGAUCUAGUAUUGCGAGGGUUAGAAACUUAAUAGGUUCACUAAAUUCAUGUUCUCCAGGUGAAUCUGGAUUAAAAAUCUGCUUUACUUAAAAAAGUUUUUUACCCCCAAAGGAAAGACUAUGGUUGCAUAAUGUGGUAGCGGGAAGAAUUUAAAAAUAGUCAGAUUUAUAGCUGGUCGUUCGAAAAUAGCUCAAUUUUAAAAGUAAUUGAAAUUUAACCACUUUCAUGUAAACAUAAAUUUGAGCAAAAACACCGUUUAAAACCCGGAAAAUACGUCAGUAUAUUAUGCUGGAGUUCCAGCAUAAGUAUACUUGAACUCCAACAUAUUAUACUGGAUUUCUAGGAUAAGUAUGCCGGAGUUCCAACAUAAAUACACUAAAACUCCAGCAUAAUACACUGGAGUUCCAGCAAGUAUACCGGUCCAGCAUAAUAUACUGGAGUUUGGAGCACCGGUGCUCCAGUCUCCAGUAUAUUAUACUGGAGCCAUCAAAAUAUAUUGGCCCAGCAUAAUAUGCUGGAAUUCAUACACAUGUGCACCGAACUCCAGUAUAUUAUGGUAAACCAUCUCUGUUUCAACAAAAUAGUGGCUAUAUUUCAUUGACUUAAUAAACACUAACUAUUUUUAAAUGACCAAUCCGAAAACUGGCUAUACCGUGAUAUUUUUAUUGUGUUAGCUGAAGAAGAAAAGCCUUUUAGGCCAUAUGCUGAAUUGAUGUUCUAUCAAUCCCUACUUUAAUAUUUUCUUGUAAAGCUUAUAAAAACUUUUCCUUCACUUUAAUUGUGGCAAAUUACAAACCACAAAAACAUUACAAAUAUCGUAUCCCAUAUCUUUGAAUUUUAAGUGGGCAAUAAAGCAUGUGCCGAUUUUUUUAAUUCUUUCCGCCCACAUUCUGCGUAUGAGCUUUCAUUAUGAAUUAAAUAAAAAUAAAGUAAAGAGGCUCUCUAUUAUUAAUGGAUAUUGAUGCUUAAUGAAACUUUGAGAAAUCAAGACAGUUCAAAAGUAGGUACUUAAAAGCUAC
rnacentral:lncRNA from 1 species